rnacentral:rRNA from 1 species
AUACGGAGGGGGCAAGCGUUGUUCGGAAUCACUGGGCGUAAAGCGCGCGUAGGCGGAUUGGUCAGUUGGGGGUGAAAUCCCGAGGCUUAACCUCGGAACUGCCUUCAAAACUGCCAGUCUUGAGUCCGGGAGAGGUGAGUGGAAUUCCUAGUGUAGAGGUGAAAUUCGUAGAUAUUAGGAAGAACACCAGUGGCGAAGGCGGCUCACUGGCCCGGUACUGACGCUGAGGCGCGAAAGCGUGGGGAGCAAACAGGAUUAGAAACCCCGGUAGUCC